rnacentral:rRNA from 1 species
AAAACAUAACCUUUAGCCACAAAACAAGUAUUAAAAGGCAACGCCUGCCCAGUGAACAAUUAAACGGCCGCGGUACCCUAACCGUGCAAAGGUAGCGAAAUCAUUUGUCUAUUAAUUGUAGACCUGUAUGAAAGGCAUAAUGAGGGCCUAACUGUCUCUUAUAAUAAAUCAAUUAAACUGAUCUUUUAGUACAAAAGCUAAAAUACCAACAUAAGACCAGAAGACCCUGUGAAGCUUUAACUAACCUAUUAAACCCAAUAAUAGCUACUUUCGGUUGGGGCGACCUUGGAAAAAAAAGAAACUUCCAAACACGACUAAAACUCGCAAACAGGCCCACAAGCCAAUCAACGACCCGGCACAGCCGAUCAUCGAACCAAGUUACUCCAGGGAUAACAGCGCUAUCUUCUUCAAGAGCCCAUAUCAAAAAGAAGGUUUACGACCUCGAUGUUGGAUCAGGACAUCCUAAUGGUGCAGCAGCUAUUAAGGGUUCGUUUGUUCAACGAUUAACAGUCCCACGUGAUC